rnacentral:rRNA from 1 species
UACAGAGGUCUCAAGCGUUGUUCGGAUUCAUUGGGCGUAAAGGGUGCGUAGGUGGCGCCGUAAGUCAGGUGUGAAAUUUCGGAGCUUAACUCCGAAACUGCAUUCGAUACUGGCGUGCUUGAGGACUGGAGAGGAGACUGGAAUUCAUGGUGUAGCAGUGAAAUGCGUAGAGAUCAUGAGGAAGACCAGUGGCGAAGGCGGGUCUCUGGACAGUUCCUGACACUGAGGCACGAAGGCCAGGGGAGCAGACGGG